rnacentral:rRNA from 1 species
AUGUAUGCCGGCUCCAACCCCACCUCAGAGAUAAGGAACUCGGACCUACGGUGCAGCAUACCACCUAAACGUCUUCUUCAAGUAUUCCAUUUUGGCAGCAAUCUUCUCCUCACUGACGAAUGCAACAGACCGCAGAGCUAGCCUGCACAUCCCAGAGCCCCGAGGCACACCUAAAGCUUGAGCAGAGGCAACCAUCGCCCGGAUUUGCUCCACGUUGGCGGUGAGCAUCCUUGGCAUAGAGAUGGCAAGCUUGCCAAUAUCGCAAGCACCUAA